CCCCCUGCAUUGAGAGCAUGGGGUCUUAGCCACUGGACCACCAGGGAAGUCCUCAGGGUUUCUUUUUAAAGUAACAAAAAUGUUCUGGGACUAGACAGCAGUCAUGGUUUUACAACUCUGUAAAUGUACUAAAUGCUACUAUUUAACAUUUUAAAAUAGUUAGAAUGGUAAAUUUUAUGUGCAUUUUACCACAAUAUAGAAAGAUAAAUAUUCACUAUGGAGUCAGGAUGUGGUUGUCCAGCCACAUCAUCUGCAAAUCAGGCAAACCUUUCCUGCCUAGUUCAGGCCAUUGUUACACUCUCUGUGGGUUACCACGGCAAACUCCUGCCUGGUCCCCUGUCCCCAGGGUUACCUUCUCCACUCCAUCUUCAACCAACUUUCUAUGAUGUCAAACUGAGCGCAGUGUUCCUUUGAUUAAAAUCUUUUCGUUUAAUCUCCUACUGGGAAAGACCACACACUGCAGCCUUCACACUGCAGCCAAAGAUGCUUCAUGACCUGGCAUCAGGUGCCCCUCUUCUUGUGUAGUUUCCACGGUGGGCAUGCCCAGAGAAGGCAGGGACCACUGGGGUUCAUGCAUCCUUGGCAUGGUCUCUCAUGUACAGUAGAUGCCCAGUAAAUAUUUGCUGAAUGAAUGAAUCCAGCUCUUGCUAUUUCCCCAAAACCCUGUAUUCUAGCCAAACCAAAUUUUCCAACUAGCCAGGCCAACCCAUGUAUCUGAGCCUUUGCACACAUUGAUCUCUCCAGUUAGACUGUUUUCUGACCCAUCUGUCAAUCUGGGCCAGCCCUGAUUCUUCUUGCAGACUCAGUUCAAGCAUGCAUUCUGCCGUGACUGUCAAUCACUCAUUUCUCGGGUUCCCACAGACCCCUGGCUGGCCCUCCGUGGCAGCAGUUAGCACUCGUCCUGGGAGCAUUUAUCUCCAUGCUUGUCUCCCCUGCUGGAUCAUGGGGACUGAGGAACUCAUCUUAAACAUCCUGUUCCCCACCCUCCACGUGUGAUGCGUAGGGGGAAAUAAACAAAUAAGUACUCGAUAAUUUGUCUGGCAGGGCAUACCUGGGGAAUUUUUUUUUUUUCUUUGCCCAGGAGGAAACUAUCUGAGUUAAACUGGAGAUUGAGGGCAGCUGCCACUGAAUCUCUCCAAAUCAUUCUAUUUGCUUUGUGGCAAAAGGCAAGAGGUGGAAGACUCAGAAAUUGAAGCGGGUGCAAAAGUGGGCCAUUGUAACAACGCGAGGGACAUUUCACCCUCACCGAGCACCUCUCUUCCUGAAGGGUCCUGCCGUGUGCUGGCUGAACUGAUCAGAAAGAAACGCUUGCCAACCCGUGCUCAAGGCUAUGCGGAGAUUCACAGGAUGAAGUCUUAGGAGAAGCCCCUGUUUCGGCAUACAGGAGAUCUGAACUAAAGCCCUGACCCUCCGUGUUUGCUGGAGUGCACAAUGCAGGCGCUGUAUUCCCCUUCCCAUGCCCACCAGUCUUAACAAAAAUCUACAAACUAUCUCCAAGGAGAUGGAAAGGGCUUAUCUCUUCAGUUAAAUUGGGAAAAUACAGCGGAAAAACUUGCCCAGAUGGUGUAUAAAUCCAAAUGAGAAACACACCUCCAAAGAGCAGGGCGCAUUGCUGGUGGGAGCAUCCAGGGUUAGGAAAGGAGGAGGAGGGAUAUUUGGGGAAAAGGGUGGCGACGCUGUUCAGAAAUUUUUGCCUGCCCUUUGCAAUCACUUAAAUAAUCUGUGGUGUUCAGUGGGUAUUUUACCUGACCUAAUUAAAAAUCAGAUUGCUAUUUUAACUGAGAAAAAUAGGACUUUCAACUGUUUUAGAACGAAGAAAAGAAUAAACAUUAUCAAGACCAUCUCUUAGAAGAUUAGGACAAAAAAAUCCAAGAGGAGAGGCUUCAAAGCUGUUUUUGUUUUCCCUGGCUUUGAAAUACAUAGACAGUCCUGAUAAUUUUAUCUUCCUGGAAAUAUAGCAAAUAAAGUCUAUUUACUAC